CGCAUACAGAAGCAUGAGCGACCAUGCGUGGAACACGCGGUGAGUGAAUCGGGAAUACAAGGAACUUCUGGCUAGUGUAGACUCAGGAGAGUCAGGGAAACUUAGCAGGCGUGCCCACAAGGGAAUAAAGUCUGAACCUAUUUCAAUCCAUGCCUGCUGGAUUCUUUCAGAUGCCAUCAAAACUGGCCUUUCUCCAAUAUAUAAUUUCAACCAGAUGAUCUGUUUAUUAGUUGGAUGUUUGGAUUGGAGCUAAGAGGCAGAUUUCCCCUUGUUCACCAGCACAUCAAAUUGCAAGGUGGCAAGACACAUUGAGUCCCAAUGAUCUAACCUUCAUGAAUCUUGAAACAUUUGAGCUUGUGUUUUGAAAGCAGAAUCUUCCAUUUGGUG